rnacentral:rRNA from 1 species
AAAGCGUGCGCAGGCGGUUAUGUAAGACAGAUGUGAAAUCCCCGGGCUCAACCUGGGAACUGCAUUAGUGACUGCAUAGCUGGAGUACGGCAGAGGGGGAUGGAAUUCCGCGUGUAGCAGUGAAAUGCGUAGAUAUGCGGAGGAACACCGAUGGCGAAGGCAAUCCCCUGGGCCUGUACUGACGCUCAUGCACGAAAGCGUGGGGAGCAAACAGGAUUAGAUACCCUGGU